rnacentral:rRNA from 1 species
GAUGAACGCUGGCGGCGUGCCUAAUACAUGCAAGUCGAGCGAACAGACGAGGAGCUUGCUCCUCUGACGUUAGCGGCGGACGGGUGAGUAACACGUGGAUAACCUACCUAUAAGACUGGGAUAACUUCGGGAAACCGGAUCUAAUACCGGAUAAUAUAUUGAACCGCAUUGUUCAAUAGUGAAAGACGGUUUUGCUGUCACUUAUAGCUGGAUCCGCGCCGCAUGAGCUAGUUGGUAAGGUAACGGCUUACCAAGGCAACGAUGCGUAGCCGACCUGACAGGGUGGUCGGCGGCACUGGAGCUGAGACACGGUCCAGACUCCUACGGGAGGGCGCAGUAGGGAAUCUUCCGCAAUGGGCGAAAGCAUGACGGAGCAACGCCGCGUGAGUGAUGAAGGCCUUCGGAUCGUAAAACUCUGUUUUUAGGGAAGAACAAAUGUGUAAGUAACUAUGCACGUCUUGACGGUACCGAAUCAGAAAGCCACGGCUAACUACGUG